rnacentral:tRNA from 1 species
AAUCUUAUAGGUUAUAAAAACUGAAAAGUUGUGGACUUUUAGAAACUAAUGGUUGAGAUUA